rnacentral:lncRNA from 1 species
GAACGGAGGAGACGAGCUCGGCCACGCCUGCCCAGGCGGCCUUCGCAGUCGAUGUUCCUUCGGACGUCGAACCUCCGGUUCCCCGAGCCUCUUCUAGGAGUCCUCCUACUGAGGUUCCCGUUUCGGGGGUCCGUUCCGCGGAGGCGCCCGGGGUCGAGAGGGGGAGGAGAAGAAAGUCGGUGGCCCACAGGGUGAGUAGCCGCCGGGCCGCCAUCGAAGAGUCCCACGGUUCCGAAGAAGAGCCGGGGGAGAAUCCCUUCAAUGAUAGGGACUUGAUAAAGCGGCUGAUUG